AUGAGCGCAAGAGCGGAGAUGUCUCCCCGCCGCCGCCGCCGCCGCGCCUCUCCGCCGCCUGCCUCUCUGCCGGACGACGACGACAUGCUCCGGGAGAUUCUCCUCCGCCUCCCCCCGCGGCCUUCCUCCCUCCCGCGGGCCUCCCUCGUCUCCAAGCGUUGGCGCAGCCUCGUCGCCGAUCCCCAAUUCCAACGCCGCUUCCGCAAUCACCACGGCAAGCCUCCUCUCCUUGGCUUCUUCGUCGAAGACCGUCGCUCCUGUCCGUUUUUUCCAAUGCUGGGCCGACCGGAUCGCAUCCCCCGCGCUCGCUUCUCCAUGCCUCCCAACAAGGACGACCGUAUCCCCGGCGCUCGCUUCUCCAUGUCUCUCAACGGGGACAACCGCAUCGUCGACUGCCGCCACGGACUUGUACUUUUCCUCGGCCGCGGCCCGCCGCACCACCUACUUGUGUGGGACCCCGUCGCCCGCGAGCAGCGCCACCUGUUCCUCCCACCAGAGCUGGACCAGUUGAGCUUCUUCAACGCAGCGGUGCUUCGCCCUACCCGUGGCCAUUUCCAGGUGGCCCUGAUAGCAUUUGCAGGAAUAACAAGAUUUUCCGCAUGCCUUUACUCAUCGGAGACUGGCAUAUGGGGCAAUAUCAACUCACUGGAGCUGGAAUCGCAUAUACUACCUUUGGAAGGAGCCGGUACUUUGAUUGGUAAUUCCCUAUGCUGGUUACUUCGGGUGCUUCCUCACUAUGCCAUACUUGAGUUUGAUCUGGAUACACAGAGCCUAGCUGUGGCAGAGCUGCCAGCACUCGAAGGCGACCAAGAAUUAAGGAUUAUACCUGCCGAAGAUGGUAGGCUUGGCUUCAUCCAUGUCUCGCAAUUCCAUGCCCAAUUAUGGAAGAGAAAGCCCGAUUCUGAUGGUUUGGCUGUAUGGGUGCUUGAUAGAGCUAUUGAAUUCGAGGAGCUCAGAUCAACUUACAAGGGAGACUCUAUCACUUUAGUGGGUUUCGCCGAGGAGAGUAAUGCAGUCCUUGCACUGACAGUUUCUGGUGUCUUCAUGGUCUAUCUCCAGUCAGUGGAGUUUAAGAAAAUUUCCAACGUGAGGUCCAAUUUUACCUAUUAUCCAUUUGCAUGUUGCUAUGCUGCAGGAACUGGCAUUCUUGAUGGACAUGAUGGAGAUGAAGUGUUGAACAAUAUGUGA
rnacentral:rRNA from 1 species